UGAGAAGUACAGAUCUUUAGGAAAAAUGU
rnacentral:piRNA from 1 species